AUGGUUAGGGUUAGGGUUAGGAUUACGGAGGAGGCGGAGGCGGCUGCUUUAUUCCCGAUCCCGAUCUCAAUCCCGAUGCCGAUCCCCAUUACCACCGGAGGAAAAAAGAUUAGGGAGGAGGCGGAGGCGGAGGCGGCUCCUUUAUUCCCGACGCGGAUCCCGAUCGGCAUGGCCAGCGGAGGCGGAGGAGCGCCAUGGGCGGACGGUGCCUUCCCCGAUUGGGUGAUGCUGAACCGCAUCGGCCGCACCAAGUCCUACGACGGCAUAUGCGCUGUUCGUGAGGCCGUCAACCAGAACAAGACCGCCGCUGCAAUUCACAUGGCCAGCGGCCGCUCCUGCUACGUGUCCUUCGCCCUCGCGGACCCUCCAGAAGGGGUCUCCUACUUCGACCUCCACUGGCCGGAGAAAGAGGCCUCAGCCACCCGGCCCGCCUGUCCCUACGUCCGGGCAACUGACGAGGACCUCGUCCUCUUCCACAUCUCCAUCCCGAGCCAGACUCGCUACUUCAACAUCGCGUCAGAUCUGUUCGUCUACACGGCCGCCGGUCCUUCCCCCUCGGUGCAGCAGCUCCCUCGGUACACCAAGGACAGGAAAAGGCCGUUCCUGAUGGAUAAAUUCGCCACAGGCAUCCUGCAGCUCGCGCCGGACUGCUACAUUGUUGCCGACCUUAAUGUCUACCCCAAAAAAAGCGACACUGGCAAUAAUCCCAUGCUUGUUGAACUCUGCAUCUUCAACUCCGAGAAAGGACAUUGGGGAACCAUCUGCAACAGGCCUGCCCCGCGGCCGCAUGACCAGAGCAAUGUCCAGUUCCCCUUCCUGUGGUCAACUGACGAUGUGCUCGCUCUUGAUGGUCGUUUUCUGUGCUGGGUAGACUACUUCAGCGGUGUCCUAAUAUCUGACUUCUCAGAUACAUGCUCCCCUGUGCUUCACUUCGUGCCUUUCCCCGGGGGAAAAGAGUACCAUGAUGACGUACGGGUUGAAAGAUACUUCUCCGGGAGAUUCCAAAGUGUGUCCGUCAGCCAAGGCAUGCUGCGCUUUGUCCACAUUGACAAUGACUUCCAUGAGAGAAUCCAUGGUGGCCAUCGUCACCUUCUUGAGAGAAGACAAGGGCAGCACCCUCGCCAAAAGAUCACCAUUUGGGAUUUGAACAUGAUGUCCAAGUUCAAGUGGGAGCUCCAUCGUGUGAUCUACCUGGAUUCUGUCUGGGGUAGCUCUGGUUACCAGGAGCUGCACAUACCUCGCCGUCUUCCUGAGUUCCCAAUCAUCAGUGCGGAUGACCCGGAUAUUGUAUGCUGCCUUUUAAGGGAGGAGGAAUUUCACGGUGAGGCGUGGAUGAUCAUGGUUGACAUGAAACAGGCACAUGUUCAGUCAUGUACUCCAUAUAUCAAUCAACAGUCCUGCUAUGCUAAGUCUGUGGAUGUGGAUGUGGAUGUGCAAGCUCGCAAAAGCCGUUUUGCUAAUGUGCCCCUACUUCCAGCUGUCUUCUCCAGACACCUUGAAAGGCCAACUGGGAUGCUAUGGAACAACGACAAGCUUGCACCUCAUCCUUCAAAGAAGAGUAAGUUUGCAAGGUAA
rnacentral:rRNA from 1 species